UCCCUCUUAGCUCAGUGGUAGAGCGCGUCACUAGUACCUGCUUGCUUUAGCAUGUUACAAUGACGAGGUCAGUCGUUCAAGUCGGCUAGAGGGAA